AAUGGUGGCCGGUUAAGGCCAUUUCGCGUUUUCGCGUUUUCGCCCUAUAUAAUAUGAUACGCAAAAACGCGAAAUGGCCUUAAUCGGCCACCACA
rnacentral:sRNA from 1 species